ensembl:ncRNA lncRNA:CR43372 long non-coding RNA:CR43372
CCUAAGUAAGAAAUUUUGCUACAUUUGGUCGGAGUCACCAAAUAGGCUACCAAGUAGCUUUAGCAGUACACCUUAAAGAUAUGUAUUAUGGCAUAAAAUACUAUCUAACUUUAUAACGUAGCUUUUCUAUUUUUUCUAAAAUUUCGUUCGUAAGUCAUAUAAACAGACGCAAAUCAAAACAUCAAAAGGAAGAGUUAGCAAUUGACUUGAUUUGUUGUUACUCAUCGUAAGGACUUGAAAUGGAUAAACGUUGGACAUAAGACUAGAUAAUUAAUGAACUAAGAAUGAUGUAAAAAUGUUGAAUGGUGAUCAUGACCACUGCUAACAGAUAAAUCCUUUGCUGCAGUUCCAAUCAAUUUUCCCACUUUCCUCUGGCUUCCACUUAAGAACUGAGAAAGGAAAUCAAAUCGAACAUCCGCAAAUUGCUUGCCAUGGCAGGAGUUGCGACAGGACAAUAAAUCACUGGCAAAAUGACGCUGUCAAAGACCGAGUGACAAGCAGGAAAGCAGAGCAGAAAAAACAGUGAACCAGCAAACAGGACGAUAAAGACAAUGCCACAAAACAAUUUCGCAAGGAGUUGGCAGCUGGGAGAUGGAAUGUGGGGAUGUGGACAUUUCGGAGGUGGAGCUCAUCCGCAUGCUGACCAACAUGUCGGUGGCCACAACGAAAUACGAGCACUCCCCCAUUGAAGGACCCCCAAGGAAAUCGCCCCACACAUUGAUGAAGGUGUGGAAACGUGCGAUUUUGUAAUUGAUACUAAAAAGCCCUUAAUUGGCACCUUAACGCUGCUGAUGCUCUGACAAAUUUCCCCCAAGGACCAGUGACGAGGGCCGUUCCUGGCGAUGACAUGCGUGGGUUGUCCAAGGACACAGCUCGAGGGCCAACGGGGGGUGGACUUGCUGAUGGGGUGGUCGAGAACGUGGAUGCGGACGUGGACGUGGACGUGGGCCGGAGGUAAUCGGAUACCUUUUAGGAAAUCGAGAUGCCGCAAUCAAAGGCGUCGAAAAUCGGUGCCACAUUAUGCCGCAUAAUCAUGGUCGGCACAUCAUCGCUGUCAUGUGACCAUGUGAAACAUCCAAUCCCGGCGCAGCCAAAACAAAUGGCUCUAAUCCAUAAUUGUCUGGCCGCUGGUCAAGUGGGACUUGAGCCAAUAAAUCUCAUCGAACUAAUUCGAUACGUUGGCCGUUUGCCGUUGGGCGGCGAGGAUGUAAAGGACGUUCAGGACGUUCAGGACGUCCAGGGCGGAAGUCCUCGAGGAUGAGCCACCCUUGUGGUUUUCGCUACUUGUUUGCCAGCCUGUUGUCAUUUGUUAACAUUUCAUUACAUUUAUUUCACCGGACACAAUUGCAAAGUGGAUGAAUGGAUUUGCCGUUUGAUGUCGCCUCGAGGAUGAGUCCCCGCCAUCUCGACCACCAUAAACCAACCACCCACCUCCAACUGGCGAAUUUAUCUGCUUGUGCGAGUACUUAUUUGCUCUCAAACCAAUUUGUUUUAUAAUUGAAUUUGAAAUUGAAGAUGACAUUCGGUUUCCGAUUGUUUGGCGUGUGGUGCUAUAGCUAUGGCCACAGGCCACGCCCCGCCCAGCCCCCUGCAGCAAUCCCUCGCUGACCUGACCUCAGCUGUCUAUGUGUUUAGGUUUUGGUAAUUGUAUGCAGAGAUUCUCGGCGCGUGUGUGUGUGUACGUUAGUGUGAGAGAGUGCUAGUGCUUGACCAGAAAUUCAAUUAUGUAUAAAAUUUCACAACCAUUUUCGGGAUGACUUUCCGAAAAACUC